UCUUAUCAAGAGAGGUGGAGGGACAGGGCCCAAUGAAACCCGGCAACCAGUAUUUUAUACCAAGGUGCCAAUUCCUGCAGUGUAAAUCUGCAAGAUAAGG
rnacentral:ncRNA from 1 species